rnacentral:lncRNA from 1 species
GCAUUCCAAGAAUUUUCUGGAGGGUCUUGAGGGUAAAAACUACUCACUAUUAUGGAAAGACCCCAUUGGGUGACACAACAGUUCCAAAGCAGUGUUGUGGAAGUGCUUGUUGAAACAGUCCAGUGGCAGAGAGGAGAAGUCUUGUAAGGAAGGGAUCUGAUGGCCAGUCAGAAUGGAUAUGCUUAGAGUUAGUGGGUCCUAACUACUACUCCCAUUUCUAUGAAAGAAAUUUUCAGUCUCAGAGUCAUAGUUAUAAUUUUUAAAAAUUUUUCAUUAGUUAUUAUCUUUAUUUAUAUUUCAAAUGUUAUCCCCUUUCCUGGUUUCCCUUCAAAAACCCCCUAUCCUCUUGCCCUUCCCCAUGCUCACCAACAUACCCACUCCUGCUUCCUGGCCCUGGCAGUCCCUUAUACUGGGAUAUAGAACCUUCACAGGACAAAGCGCCUCUCCUCCCAGUGAUGACCAACUAGGCCCUCUCCUGCUACAUAUACAGAUAGAGCCAUGGGUUUAGUUCCAGGGUGCUCUGGGGGUACUGGUUAGUUCAUAUUGUUGUUCCUCCUAUGGAGCUGCAAACCCCUUCAGCUUCUUGGGUACUUUCUCUAGCUCCUUUGUUGGGUAAACUGUGCUCAGUCCAAUGGUUGGCUGAGAGCAUUCACUUCUGUAUUUGUCAGGCACUAGCAGAGCCUCUCAGGAGACAGCUAUAUCAGGCUCCUAUCAGCAAGCACUUGUUGGCAUCCACAAUAGUGUCUAGGUUUGGUGGUUGUUUAUGGGAUGGAUCCCUAGGUGGGGCAGUCUCUGGAUUAUCAUUCCUUCAGUCUCUGCUCUGCACUGUCUCUGUAACUCCUUCCAUGGGUAUUUUGUUCCUCCUUCUAAGAAGGAUCCAAGUAUCCACACUUUGCUCUUCCUUCUUCUUGAGUUUCAUAUGGUUUGCAAAUUGUAUCUUGGGUACUCCAAGCUUCUGGGCUGAUAUCCACUCAUCAGUGAGUGCUUUUAUGCUAAAGGAGUAAGACAUCAGUUCAUGAAAAAGAAUGUACUUUUUAAAACUCCAACAUAGUUAAUAUCAUAAUCUCUUUCAAAAACACAUAACAUGAUGCUAUAUGUUUUUAUUGAGUAUAUUUCAUAUACUGUAGAACUAACUUAAUGUUCAGUAUUCAUAUUUAAAUGAUAGCUCAGUUGUCACAGUUGAUUUUUUUUCUUGUUAUCAUAAGUACUUCAAAAAGAAGACCUUGCCUGAUAAAGUCAUCCCUGUGACUCUUAAUUUUUGACUCUUGGAAGCCAGAAUAUCUAUUUUCUCUCCCAAUGGGUUAAUCUUUCUCAGACUCUUCAUAUAAAUUGCUCAUGAUAAUUCAUGUCUUUUGUGAUUGCUUUCCCCCUUGGCCCCUUCCAAGUUACUCAUAUUUAACAUGUGUAAUUACUUAAUUAUUUUAUUUCAUAAUAACAAUCCACUGGAGGCAUACAUUACAGUGUACAUGUCAGCUGGUGGGGAUGUAAAUUCUUUCCCUUCCUUGGCUGCUUACUAUCAUGCUGCCUGUAGCGUGCUUGGUUUGGGUGUCUUUUCAUUUCUCUCUGGCAUCUAUGUAAGAAUGGAAAUAAUGAGCCAUCUGAUACUUCUGUCUAGCAUUUUGAAGGACCAUAGUACUCCUUAACAAAGGAUGAUAACAGGUCUAUGUUUUCAGGGUUAAUAUGGGUUUUCCUGUCUGUAGGUUUUGCACAAUUCUUAGUUAACGCAUCUGGGGAAGUCACAGCCAUUAUGAUAUGCAACUGUUUCUCAUAUGCUUGUUGCAAAAAAUAGUUAUUGAUUUCUUAAUGAUAAGCUGGUUUUUUUCUAGCAUUAAGUUAUAAGUGUUUAAUAGACAUAAUUUAAAUAAGAGAGCACAUGGUAUUUGUAUUAUGCAAGACACAAGUUUAGUGUGUUUUUUAGAUUGACUAUACUGAGAUUUUUUGCUCAGAUAGAACUAAUUGAGUCAUAACACUUUUAAUGUAGUUUGAAUUCUUCAUAUUUUUUUCUCCUCCAAUUUUACUUAUGUGGUUGAUGCAUAACAAGAUUCAUCAUUUAAGGAUACUCUUGUGAUGACAAAUUUUAAAUCGGCAGUAAUUGAAGUUUUAUUCUGAGGAACCUUCUCCUGUGAGAUAGUACAUUUAUUGUUACAUGCUUUCCAUUUCCUCCUUCCUAGGAAAAUGCUAAAUGACACUGAGUGUUUAUCUCCAUGUCCCCCGAAGUUUCUUCUUUUGCCAGAGACUAAAUGAUUUUCCUUCUUGAUUUUCAAAAUCUUGCCGUUUGUUAAUUAGGAUUUUAAUUACCCAUAAUUUUAUUUUUUAUUUAUUCUUUUAUCUUUUUUUUUUACAGUCCAGUCUUUAUCCCCCUCCAGGUCUACCCUCUGACUGUUCCUCAUCCCAUACCUCUUUCACUGUUGAAUUAUAGCUAUUAAGUUAACAAUUUUAUUUCCAUAGACUUUUUUUCCCUCUACCAUGUCUUGUAACCUAUUGAAUUCCUUCACGUUUCUGGGGCUGUGACUACUAUUUGAGACAUAAACUAUACAGGACAAAGGAUUUAUUUUUAGCUCAGAGGAAUCAAUUCAAAUUUGGUUUGAUCCAUUUGCUUUGGGUACAAGUGAGACAGGAUAUCAUGGCAGAGCGAAAAAAAGACAGAGAAACUGAGCGAACAUAGACACACAAGGAGCUAGAAGCAGAGAAAGCAAGAUAUAGCACCAACAGCCCCAUGAAUGUAAACCCUUUAACAUAUGAUCCUGCAGCUGAUCAUACCUGUUGAAAUCUUUCAGCUUAUCUCAAGAAAGUUAUGCAAAUUCAUAGUUUUAUGUUUCCUCACCAAAGCAACAUCUUGUAUAUUAGUGUCUUUUUGUGCCACCUUGCACCUGUCGAUGUACAAGCAAGCAAAGAGAGGGAAUCCAGCAGAAAAACUGAGAUUUGAACCUCAGUGUGGAAGGCAGCACAGUGCACUCUUGUGAUUUCAGCCUGUUGUGUUUACCAUAUAGGAAAUCCAUUACUUGGGAAGAAAAGAGAGAGCUAAAGAUAACAUAUGGCUAACAGGCUGGCUGUGACUAGCUCCCUUCCAUUAUGGAACCAUGAAGGAUAUCAGCCUAUUACAAAAUGCAGCUUGCAUGAAGCCUCAGAAUAAAGCUUUUAUAUUGACUAAUCCAAGCUGGUUUCAUGUUGCAAUGUUCAGCGUUCUGUUGAGUGGUAUCUGAAGCUCUCAAGCUUUAGACUCUGGUUCAGCUUCCACUGUGUCUAAGAUACAUUUUCUGAACCAGCUUGAAUCACAGUGCUGUUAUUUGUUAAAGGGUUAAUUAGGACAACACUGUUAGAGUCUGAGGAUGAAAUAAAAUGAUGUAUAGAAAUGGUCUGACACACAACCUUAUGCAUUUAAUCCUGAGAGAACGAGCUCAUUAAAAAAUACCUUUAGGAAUUAGAAGGAAAAACAAAUGACUUGGAAAGUAAGCAAAAUUUAAAAUACACCACCAUCCUGGGGUCACUUGCUUUCAACAGCAUUUUUCAAAGACCACAUUGUAUAUUCCUAAUCCCUGAAUGUGACAAUUUCUCUUAAUUAUGUGUCUACACAUUUGCACACACAUUCAGCCCCUCAUAUUCAAGACUCACCCACUGGACUGUAGCUAAGUCUUUAAUGAGUUACUAAUGAACAUCUAAAGCUUAGAUCAGCAUUUGGAACAAUCCUAAAGAGUGUGGAAAAGCUAUUCAGAUUACAAAGCUGUAUCUUUUAAUUAGACUGUGGCCCAAUAAAAGUUCCUGUCUUCACUCUUCUUCCUAUUUUGAAGACAUUGAACAGUAAGUAGCAGCUAUAGUCUCAUUUUGAUAGCAUUAGCCAUAUAUGAAGUUAAUAGGACUGAAUUCAAUCAACUGAAUUUGAGAGAUCAUUGAAUUGGUCAAAUAAAAGGGAAACAAUAUGAAAACAUUACAAUGGUAUUCAGCAGUGUUUCAUUCUCUUGGACUUAGAUGACUUUAAAACAGAUUGAUUUUGUUGUUGCAUCAGAGAAUAACAGAUGACAGGAGGAAAAAUGAUCCAGAUAUGAUUAAAUCAUGUAGGUGGGAAAAAAUAAAAAAACCAACUCCCGUACUUAUAAAAAGAACACGCAGUCUGCUUUCACACAUUGCCAAUUCUCUCCGAGCUGUUAGAGGCACCACAGAAAUAGUAGUUAUAAAUAUUACCCGAAUUAGAUCAAGAGUACUCUUUACUGUAGCUCCCCUUAAAAGUCAACAAUGGUGUUUUUCAACAGUCAUCUCUUUUCUCCCCCUUUCCCCCUACUUCUAAGAGUGAAAUUGGUUAAACCAUGAAAAACUUAAGAGUAAAUGCUUUUAUAGUGUAGGUAAAGUUCGAAGCUGAUAUGCAACUGUCCCUCCAGGAACCAUAUACACUAGCUUGAAAGAGGCACUUUAGAUCCUUCACAAGAGCUGGUACUUGAAAUCACAGUGAUAGCUCUGUUGUAUAGGCUAUGGAUUGUUGUUGGGAGCCUUGUGGUGAAUAUAUAUAUAUUUAUGUAUAUAUAUAUGCCCCAACAUGAUUUAAGCGAUCAGUAUGACAUUUGCACCUGUUAGCAUAUGUGUCCUGUUGUUAACUGACAUUUAGACACUUGUUUUGUGUUUGUGAUGACAAUGGGGGUGAGUGAGAUGCAGGUGGUCAAACUCUCUUGCUACCCUGGUGAAAAAAAAUAAGAGGGACAGGGACAAUUGUAUUCUUCUCAACUAUUCUGAGAUGCCAGUCUCGAUCAACUUAACAAAAAGGGAAGCAGAACUGACUAACAAGUCUGUGUCUAUUAAUAUGCACAUCGUUUCUGCUCAUUCUGCCCACAUCCCAAAGCUAAAUGGUGGUAUGAUUGAAGAAGAGUACCCCAGACCACAGCUGCCCAGAAUUUUGGAGAAACGGUUGGUUUUUUUUAUAGCAUUCAGAACACAUAGCUUUCAUAGCAUUAAAAAUUAAUAUUCCUAGAGAAGGUAGUAGAUGAAAGGAGUCAGGAUUCUAGAGGAAAAAACAUUCCAAAGUUUGAGUUUUUUUUUUAUCUUAACCACAAAUUACAAUCUGUUUGUGUUUUGUUUGCAAAGAGCAGGUGUUUUUAGUUGGAAAAGAAACAUUUACAGUUAGAUGCCAUUCCUUUAAUGAGUAAGAUACGUAAUAAGCAUUUUUCAUUUAAUUUGAAUGAAAAUAAAUCUGUCUUUUGGGGAAAAGCCAAAUUUAUAAAUGAAAUUAUUAACAGAAUUUGCCUACUUACGCCUCUUCACAAGGGUUUGAAGUUUGUAUUGUAGCAUUACAAUUUAGACAGUCAAUAUAAGAACGCAUAACUCUCUCCUAUUUACAUACCUUAUUGCAUUGCAAUAAAAUUCGCUUUAUAAUCAAAAGCGAAUUUUAAAAAUAGUUUCUAAAAGUUAGCUUCCAGCACCACAAAAUAAUGUUGCCUUUAGCUUUGUCUACAGAGAAGCAUGUGACCUGCCACUACAGUCCUGUCGUACACAGCUUUUGCAACUUAUUUUGUUUCAUUUCCCUGUCAAAAAUCUAGGUUGUUGAGAAGUGUCAGGAAACGAGUCUGAAAGACAAAGAGUUCAUUUCCCAACACAGAGUAUAUCUAUACUGUAUGGAAUGAUUCAUCUUGAGAGAGAAUCCAGUGUGUUCGACGGGCAUAUACUCACUCCAGAUUACUCUAAGAGUUACUUCAUCUUACAACGGAGGACAUGUCGUCAUCACUGAACUGUUUUCUUUAAGAAUAUAGAAUGAAAACAGAUUUGUCCAUGUCCAAAGUCAUUUCCACUCAGGGCAUCCAUAGUCAGGUGGCUAAGUUGGAGCUUUUGUGACUACUUGUAGAUAUUACUGUGAGGCCUGUAGAGAAAUUAUGCAGCAAUUACAUACACCCUUGGAAGAACAUGAGGAAAUGUUAGCCUUUCACAUGGGUGAUACUAAGGUGCUGCUGGAACAAGUAUCUUUCAGGUUUACAAGAGAAGACAAAACAAACAAACAAACUAACUAACUAAUCCUUUGUUUUC